rnacentral:lncRNA from 1 species
AUUUCACUUAAUCCUCACUGUAUUCCUGUCGCAUUUUGCAGAAGAGAACCAGGCUGAGAGAAGUUAAGUGACGUGCCCAAGGAUACACAGCUCUCUGCAUGUGACACGCUGACUCCCCUUCUGCCAUGAUUGUAAGUUUCGUCACUAGAAGCAGAUGCCGACACUAUGCUUCAUGUACAGCCUGCAGAACUGAACUAUGUACUGAAGAUUUGGGGGCAAAAGAGGACCACAUCUGCAACUAACUGGAGAUGGUUCAGAAGAUGAUGCACACACACUCAAGCAUAUCGAGAGAGAAAGGGGCAGAGGACACAGAAGGCCCUGAGUUUAAUGUGCAUGUUUUGGGGAAUUUGGAAGAAGAGCCCCUGAUAAUUCAUCCUUCAUUAUUCUUGCAACUUUUCUCUAAAUCUGAAAUUAUAUUAAA